rnacentral:rRNA from 1 species
UUUCCGGUUUGAACUCAGAUCAUGUGCGGGGUAGAGGUCGAACAGACCUUGUGAAAAUAGCUUCUGCACUAUUUGUAGCCGCAAUUCAACAUCGAGGUCGCAAACAAUUAUUUUAAUAAGGGCUUAAAUAAUUAUAACGCUGUUAUCCCUAGAGUACCUUAUUCGUCUAAUUUAAUAAAGAUCAUUGUUAAUAUAAAUAGUCCUAUUUAAAUUUACCCCAAAUA